AUCCAUCUGACGAGUCCCUAAUAGGAUGAAACGUGCAUCAAACUGGAU
rnacentral:hammerhead_ribozyme from 1 species